AUCGGUAGCCAGGUGUGGUGGCACAUGCCUGUAAUCCCAGCACUCAGGAGAUUGAGGCAGGAAGAUCACCAGGAGUUCCAGGGGCAGCUGAUACACAAGUAUCUGAAGAAUGAAGAUGGAAUAUUUUAAUGGCAGCCCAUUCAGUGAAUGUGGAAUUCAGGCCACGAUGUCCUGUUAACAACUAACAACUCUGGGAAGAGCUUGGCAUGAGAGUACAACAACCUGGCUUCUUUUCACUCUAGAGCUGCAGAGGUGUGCCCAUUUGACAAAUGCCCGUGAUGCCUUUAAAGAGAAUAUUUACCAAAACUCAUUGCCCCCUAAAGAACUCUCUCUCUGCUUUACUGGUUCAGCCACCAGAAAUACCUUCAAAGAAUUUGGAAAGAGACAGUAUAGAGUUUGAGAGCAUGGAACCUAGUUUCCUCUCUUACUAGGGAUCAAACUCAGUACCUUGUGCUUGCCAGGGAGGCGCUGUGCUGUUGAGCUACAUCUCCAGCCCUAAAUGUGAUAAAG
ensembl:lncRNA